UGGGGAAUAUAGGACAAUGGGCGAAAGCCUGAUCCAGCCAUGCCGCGUGAGUGAUGAAGGCCCUAGGGUUGUAAAGCUCUUUUAGCGGGGAAGAUAAUGACGGUACCCGCAGAAUAAGCCCCGGCUAACUUCGUGCCAGCAGCCGCGGUAAUACGAAGGGGGCUAGCGUUGCUCGGAAUCACUGGGCGUAAAGGGCGCGUAGGCGGCCAUUCAAGUCGGGGGUGAAAGCCCAGGGCUCAACCCUGGAAUUGCCUUCGAUACUGUUUGGCUAGAGACCGGAAGAGGUAAGUGGAACUGCGAGUGUAGAGGUGAAAUUCGUAGAUAUUCGCAAGAACACCAGUGGCGAAGGCGGCUUACUGGUCCGGUUCUGACGCUGAGGCGCGAAAGCGUGGGGAGCAAACAGG
rnacentral:rRNA from 1 species